rnacentral:tRNA from 1 species
GUUCUGAUAGUUUAAAUAUAAAACAUCAAAAUGUGGCUUUGAAAAUAAAUUUUUAUUUUCAGGACC